UACGUAGGGUGCGAGCGUUUGUCCGGAUUUAUUGGGCGUAAAAGAGCUCGUAGGCGGUUUGUUGCGUCGGCUGUGAAAUCCCGAGGCUCAACCUCGGGUCUGCAGUCGAUACGAGCAAACUAGAGUGUUGCAGGGGAGACUGGAAUUCCUGGUGUAGAGGUGAAAUUCGUAGAUAUCGGGAGGAACACCAGUGGCGAAGGCGGCGACCUGGGCCAAUAUUGACGCUGAGGUGCGAAAGCGUGGGGAGCAAACAGG
rnacentral:rRNA from 1 species